UCUAAAAAACAAAACCAAAAAGACUCAUAAAUACUGAGAAAAAGGAACUGAUGAUUACUAGGGGUAAGGGGGUAAGGGGGGGAAUUAGGUGAAGAGAACUUAAAAAAAGAGACCAUCUAUUUUCCCUCCUCUGACCAAGAUUUUCUGACUGUUUUGACAAAUUGUGGCAAAAGUAGUGAUACCAUCUCUCUCUUUCAUACACUCUCUCAACUUGAUCCUGAGAACCCAACCACCAUGUUGGAGGAAGUCCAAACUAGUCUGUGGGGAGAGACCAUUGGGAGAGGCUCAAGUAGAGAGGAAGUGAGGCCCCCAGCCUAUAGCCAGCAUCAAUCUCCAGACAUGACUUCAAAUGUGGUGGGAUAUAGAAGUGAGAGAGUUGGUCUUCCCAUCCUGUUCCUGUUCCCGGAGGCCAAGCAUUCAGAGAGAAAGCUGAAAGCUCUUCACGAAUGACUUUUUAUCAGGUCGAGAGAGAGCUCCCUUCCAUUCUAAUUUACUGAUCGUUUUCGUUACAGUCGAAUAUGAAUUGUGUCAAAUGAUUUCUGUGCAUCUAUUUAGAUCGUGUGAUUUAUCUUUUCCUAGUAUGAGAUGCCAAACUACCUUGAUCACUUAAAGGUUGAACCAAUCUUCCAUUCCUAGAAUAAACCACGGUUGGCAGUGAAAUGUUA